GCUCCGAUGACCUAGUGGUUAGAGCGUCCGCCUCAGAUGCGGGUGGUCGUGGGUUCGAUCCCAGGCUGAGUA